UCACACAGGAAACUUAGAGUUUGAUCCUGGCUCAGGAUGAACGCUGGCGGCGUGCUUAACACAUGCAAGUCGAACGAUGAUCUCCAGCUUGCUGGGGGGAUUAGUGGCGAACGGGUGAGUAACACGUGAGUAACCUGCCCUUGACUCUGGGAUAAGCCUGGGAAACUGGGUCUAAUACCGGAUACGACCGCUCCACGCAUGUGGUGGUGGUGGAAAGCUUUUGCGGUUUUGGAUGGACUCGCGGCCUAUCAGCUUGUUGGUGGGGUAAUGGCCUACCAAGGCGACGACGGGUAGCCGGCCUGAGAGGGUGACCGGCCACACUGGGACUGAGACACAGCCCAGACUCCUACGGGAGGCAGCAGUGGGGAAUAUUGCACAAUGGGCGCAAGCCUGAUGCAGCGACGCCGCGUGAGGGAUGACGGCCUUCGGGUUGUAAACCUCUUUCAGUAGGGAAGAAGCGAAAGUGACGGUACCUGCAGAAGAAGCGCCGGCUAACUACGUGCCAGCAGCCGCGGUAG
rnacentral:rRNA from 1 species